GCCGGGAUGGCGAAAUUGGCAGACGCGCCAGGUUUAGGACCUGGUGGGAGCAAUCCCUUGGAGGUUCGACCCCUCUUCCCGGCACCA
rnacentral:tRNA from 1 species